GGGCCUGUAGCUCAGCCAGGUAGAGCAGUCGGCUCUUAACCGACUGGUCAUGGGUUCGAAUCCCACCAGGCCCG
rnacentral:tRNA from 1 species